UGUACCUGAUACAGGUGAGAUAUGUACCUGAUACAGGUGAGACAUUUUCCUGGUUAACACAGGUGAGGUAUUUACCUGGUUAACACAGGUGAGAUAUGUACCUGGUUAACACAGGUGAGACAUUUACCUGGUAAACACAGGUGAGAUAUGUACCUGAUACAGGUGAGAUAUGUGCCUGAUACAGGUGAGACAUUUUCCUGGUUAACACAGGUGAGGUAUUUACCUGGUUAACACAGGUGAGGUAUUUACCUGGUUAACACAGGUGAGAUAUGUACCUGGUUAACACAGGUGAGAUAUGUACCUGGUUAACACAGGUGAGACAUUUACCUGGUGAACACAGGUGAGAUAUUUACCUGGUGAACACAGGUGAGGUAUUUAACUGGUAAACACUGGUGAAAUAUGUACCUGGUGAACACUGGUGAGGUAUUUACCUGGUUAACACAGGUGAGAUAUGUACCUGGUUAACACAGGUGGGAUGUGUACCUGAUACAGGUGAGGUAUUUACCUGGUGAACACAGGUGACAAAUGUACCAGUCACAGGUUAUAAGAUAACCGGCAAUGCUAUCAAAAUCUCUAGUCAAUGUAUUGUUUGUAACCACCUAACAAAACUCAAUAAACUGAUAAAUACAUUCGGAAA